UUCUAGCCACCAUUCGACUGUAAAAUGAAGGAGGGAGAUGACUGCAGAGCUACUCCCUCGUGCGCGCGAGCGCGAGCUGUCUUCAAACAGUGCCAGUGACGGUGAGACAAUAUGUGCUUUAGAUACACAAAAAGGCCACUCAAGCAGAUAAUAACUGUAUUGGAAUGAUCCCCUCCUGGUCUUUCUCCUGUUUGCCCAUCAUGGUAUAGGAUUUACCAGCACCGGUCUGGCCAUAUGCAAAAAUACAGACAUUGUAGCCCUCAAAGGCAUGAAGUAACAUCUCCUC